CGAACGCUGGCGGCGUGCCUAAUACAUGCAAGUAGAACGCUGAAGGAGGAGCUUGCUUCUCUGGAUGAGUUGCGAACGGGUGAGUAACGCGUAGGUAACCUGCCUGGUAGCGGGGGAUAACUAUUGGAAACGAUAGCUAAUACCGCAUAAUAGUAGAUGUUGCAUGCCAUUUGCUUAAAAGGUGCAAUUGCAUCACUACCAGAUGGACCUGCGUUGUAUUAGCUAGUUGGUGGGGUAACGGCUCACCAAGGCGACGAUACAUAGCCGACCUGAGAGGGUGAUCGGCCACACUGGGACUGAGACACGGCCCAGACUCCUACGGGAGGCAGCAGUAGGGAAUCUUCGGCAAGGGACGGAAGUCUGACCGAGCAACGCCGCGUGAGUGAAGAAGGUUUUCGGAUCGUAAAGCUCUGUUGUAAGAGAAGAACGAGUGUGAGAGUGGAAAGUUCACACUGUGACGGUAUCUUACCAGAAAGGGACGGCUAACUACGUG
rnacentral:rRNA from 1 species